rnacentral:rRNA from 1 species
CUUUAGAAAUUAAGGAGCGGAUAUCAGGCUCGCCCCUGCAGCCCAAGACACCUUGCUCAGCCACGCCCCCACGGGACCUCAGCAGUGAUUAAUAUUAGUAAAUGAACGAAAGUUCGAUCCAGUUAUGGUUUUAAGGGCCGGUCAAUCUCGUGCCAGCUACCGCGGUUAUACGAGCGGCCCAAAUUAAUAAGAUUAACGGCGUAAAGAGUGUAUAAAGAUGUAAUCUUCCCCCUUUAAAGCUGAAAUACUGCCCAACUGUUAUACGUACUCGCAUUAAUGAAAAACAAUUAUGAAAAUAGCUUUAUAUAAAUAAGAUAUCUCGUAUCACGAUAGCUAAAAACCAAACUGGGAUUAGAUACCCCACUAUGUUUAGCCUUAAACCUAGGUGUUUAAAUUACCACAACACCCGCCAGAGAACUACGAGCGCCAGCUUAAAACCCAAAGGACUUGGCGGUGCCUUAGACCCCCCUAGAGGAGCCUGUUCUAGAACCGAUAAUCCCCGUUUAACCUCACCACCCCUUGCUAUUACAGCCUAUAUACCGCCGUCGCCAGCUUGCCCUAUGAAGGAAAAACAGCAAGCAUAAAGAAUUACCUCCAAAACGUCAGGUCGAGGUGUAGCAUAUGGGAUGGGAAGAAAUGAGCUACAUUUUCUUUAAAGACUAACAGAUAAAUAAUGAAAUAAAUUUGAAGUUGGAUUUAGUAGUAAGAAUUAAAUAGUAUAUUAAUCUG